rnacentral:pre_miRNA from 1 species
AGCCUUCUGUAUCCGUGCUGAUAUUUCGUCACACACCAGACCACAAGGGCUGAUGAGACUUACGUUCAGUUUAUUAUCGCU